AGAGAAUGGCUACUACACUCAGAAGUUUGUUCUCCCUAGAUAUGGCCAUGUGGUGGACCGAGGAUCCUGGAGAGUUGAGUGUCUCAUCCACAAGUUCUGUUGUUCUCAGCUGGAAACAAGGAGGAAGGACAGAUAUGUGGCUAGCCAGUUUCCCGGGGCAAACAACAUGGGAUCAGUGGGUCCCAAGCCCACAGAUUGGAAACCUCUGCUCUAUCUACCUUAGAUUUGAUCCCAUCAGAACAGAGUUGUGGUUGUUUAAAGGAGAUACUUUGCCUGGGAACUGUAAUUUCCAGAAUACCACAUUGAAUCUGCCGUGGCUACCAUGACCAGACAAACUCAGAACAAGAACAUGCUGACAAGCCACUGGAACCAGCCACUGAGCUCUGCCAUCACUAUUUUGCACCCACCCUCCAACAAAGAUGCUGAAGGGUUAAUAAGUCAAACUCCAUCACUAAUGUUUGCAAAUUCAAAUAUACCACAAGUCAUUU